rnacentral:lncRNA from 1 species
GCUCUAACAUGAAAGGAAAAUUAGCAUUAGAUGGUAAUUUAGCUAUGCUUUUGAAUUGUAAGAGCAAUACUUGUUUUGAGUUCUACCAUAAAUGUUUUUAUUGACCUAGUUGAUCAAUACUAGUUAUGAUUCAAACAAAAACUGUAUUUUUUUUAUGAUCACAUUUCUUUUUGUAAAUUGUGACCGUCAUAAUUAUGAAUUAAUGAGAAAGGGUCAACAUCCUCUUUAUCAAUAUUUUGCAUCUAUAGACUUUUGUUCACAUAUUCAUGACGUAUCGUGUCUUAAAUUUGAAAAAAAAAAAAAAAUCCCCAUAUGUGUAUCAUAUCUGUGUAACUAGGCUUCACAGAAGUUAAGUCCUGAUUUCCCCUGCUAACAUGGGAAAAACUGAUGCCAAAGUUCCCCGCUAAAAAUAAUUGGUCAGAGAGUAAAAGCUGUGGUUUCCUUAUACAGGGACUAAAGCUUAAAAUGAUGGCAAUCAUAGGGAUCAAAUAAAUAGUUUAACCUUUAUAACUUGCGCUACUUGCUACUUGUAAAUUUGGAUACCAAUUCCCUGCCCUGGUAGCAUGAUCGUAAAAGGAAACAUGAGAUUGUGAGAUUUGUGUUGUUUUCUUUUUAUGCUGAAGCAGUGGCC